GAAUUGGCUUGCAUCAAUAACAGUCUAAUCCUUAACCUCUCAGGCGAUGACUUGUCGUCCGCAAUAUCUUUCACCAGAAGUAGUCGCUCCGCAUCUCCAACACCGCUUUCUUGAAUAGUUCGACCUUCUCUUGCACGCCUGUUCUCAAGAACUUGACCCUUCUAUCGACUCAUUUCCAAAUUGGUCUGAACAUAACUGCCACUCUCUCUCCUCUACAACAGCAACAUCUCUCUCCAUGCGGAUUACCAUCUUGGGUCAAUAAUUACUAGUACUUGAAAAGAAGGCCAGGACAGUGCUGUUUUGGCAAUUUAUGGAGGUGACGAAAAUAGGGAAGUGGUGGAG
rnacentral:lncRNA from 1 species